rnacentral:lncRNA from 1 species
UGAGGUAAUACGAUCCCUGGAGGUCAAAUGAUCCCCCUCCUUAAAUCAAAGAUAACUAGUGCCAUCUAUCCAAAUGAGCAUGAAACAUGUUUCCCGAGCCUCUGCCAGUUGUCUCCCCAAGUGUCAUGGCGGUGCAAGCGCUUGGCGUGAUUUUAUCAAAAAAUAAUUAAAAAGUGUGGCUCUGAUCUAAGAUCAUGCCGAGAUAUCCGCAAAACUAAUCGCCAAAAUUGGCCUGAAGAACAAAUGCAAAGGGCAUUAGAUGCCGUCAGAGAUGGGAUGCCUUACUUUAAGGUGAUGGCAUUAAAAAGAAGAGCCAAAGGAAAAAAUAAAAUAGCUGUAGGCUCCGUUAAAAAGCAGCACACUCUAUAAAAAAUACCUUGAAGAGGAAGUCAAAAAGAAAACAGCUAUAGAACAAAAAAAAAUUAAAAAAACGGUAACCAACAAACAGAACGAUAAAUUUAAAUGUGUGAAAGGUGGGAAAGGAAAAGGAGUCAGGAAAGGAAAAAGAAGCGGAAAGGGAAAAAAAA